rnacentral:rRNA from 1 species
AAUCAACGCUGGCGGCGUGCCUAACACAUGCAAGUCGAACGCGAAAGUGGAGCAAUCCAUGAGUAGAGUGGCAAACGGGUGAGUAACACGUGGGUGACCUGCCUUCGAGUGGGGGAUAACGUUUCGAAAGGAACGCUAAUACCGCAUAACAUGCUGUCUUUUAACAGAUGGACAUCAAAGCCGGGGACCGCAAGGCCUGGCGCUUGAAGAGGGGCCCGCGCCUGAUUAGCUAGUUGGUGGGUAAUGGCUCACCAAGGCAACGAUCAGUAUCCGGCCUGAGAGGGCGGACGGACACACUGGGACUGAGACACGGCCCAGACUCCUACGGGAGGCAGCAGUGGGAAUUGUUCGCAAUGGGCGCAAGCCUGACGACGCAACGCCGCGUGGAGGAUGAAGAUCUUCGGGUCGUAAACUCCUUUCGAUCGAGACGAAUGGCCCUUGGGCUAAUACCCUGAGGGAGUGACGGUACCGAGAGAAGAAGCCCCGGCUAACUCCGUGCCAGCAGCC